UACAGAGGUGGCAAGCGUUGUUCGGAAUUACUGGGCGUAAAGAGCGCGCAGGCGGUCGACCAAGUCGCGUGUGAAAGCCCCCGGCUCAACUGGGGAGGGUCACGCGAUACUGAUCGACUCGAAGGCAGGAGAGGGUAGUGGAAUUCCCGGUGUAGUGGUGAAAUGCGUAGAUAUCGGGAGGAACACCAGUGGCGAAGGCGACUACCUGGCCUGUUCUUGACGCUGAGGCGCGAAAGCUAGGGGAGCAAACGGG
rnacentral:rRNA from 1 species